UGAGUAACACGUGGGUAAUCUACCUCUUAGUGGGGAAUAACCCUGGGAAACCGGGGCUAAUACCGCAUAAUCUCGAGAGAGGAAAGUCGAAAGACGCUGAGAGAGGAGCCCGCGGCCGAUUAGCUAGUUGGCAGGGUAAGAGCCUACCAAGGCAUAGAUCGGUAGCCGGCCUGAGAGGGCACACGGCCACACUGGCACUGAAACACGGGCCAG
rnacentral:rRNA from 1 species